rnacentral:rRNA from 1 species
UACAGAGGGUGCAAGCGUUGUUCGGAUUUACUGGGCGUAAAGGGCGCGUAGGCGGCCACCGCAAGUCAAUUGUGAAAUCUCCGGGCUUAACUCGGAAAGGUCAACUGAUACUGCGGGGCUAGAGUGCGGAAGGGGGCUACUGGAAUUCUCGGUGUAGCGGUGAAAUGCGUAGAUAUCUGGAGGAACACCGGUGGCGAAGGCGGCAUCCUGGACCGGCAUUGACGCUGAGGCGCGAAAGCCAGGGGAGCAAACGGG